UACGGGGGGGGGCAAGCGUUGUUCGGAAUUACUGGGCGUAAAGGGCUCGUAGGCGGCCAACUAAGUCAGACGUGAAAUCCCUCGGCUUAACCGGGGAACUGCGUCUGAUACUGGAUGGCUUGAGGUUGGGAGAGGGAUGCGGAAUUCCAGGUGUAGCGGUGAAAUGCGUAGAUAUCGGAAGGAACACCAGUGGUGAAAGCGGCUUCCUGGUCCAGCACCGACGUUCAGGCACGAAAGCGUGGGGAGCAAACAGG
rnacentral:rRNA from 1 species